AGCAGCAGUGGGGAAUAUUGCACAAUGGGCGAAAGCCUGAUGCAGCCAUGCCGCGUGUGUAAGAAGGCUUCGGGUUGUAAAGCACUUUCAGUCGUGAGGAAGAGUAUAAGGUUAAUAACCUUAUGCUUUGACGUUAGCGACAGAAGAAGGACCGGCUAACUCCGUGCCAGCAGCCGCGGUAAUACGAAGGGUCCGAGCGUUAAUCGGAAUUACUGGGCGUAAAGCGUACGCAGGCGGCUUGUUAAGCCAGAUGUGAAAUCCCCGGGCUCAACCUGGGAAUGGCAUUUGGAACUGGCAAGCUAGAGUUUUGUAGAGGGUGGUAGAAUUUCAGGUGUAGCGGUGAAAUGCGUAGAGAUCUGAAGGAAUACCAGUGGCGAAGGCGGCCACCUGGACAAAAACUGACGCUCAUGUACGAAAGCGUGGGGAGCAAACAGGAUUAGAUACCCUGGUAGUCCACGCCGUAAACGAUGUCUACUAGUUGUCUGUGAGUUUAACUCGUGGGUAACGCAGCUAACGCAUUAAGUAGACCGCCUGGGGAGUACGGCCGCAAGGUUAAAACUCAAAUGAAUUGACGGGGGCCCGCACAAGCGGUGGAGCAUGUGGUUUAAUUCGAUGCAACGCGAAGAACCUUACCUGCCCUUGACAUACUAAGAACUUACUAGAGAUAGUUUGGUGCCUUCGGGAACUUAGAUACAGGUGCUGCAGGCUGUCGUCAGCUCGUGUCGUGAGAUGUGGUU
rnacentral:rRNA from 1 species